AAAGAUUAAGCCAUGCAUGUCUAAGUAUAAGCAAUCUAUACAGUGAAACUGCGAAUGGCUCAUUAAAUCAGUUAUCGUUUAUUUGAUAGUACCUUACUACUUGGAUAACCGUGGUAAUUCUAGAGCUAAUACAUGCUAAAAACCCCGACUUCGGAAGGGGUGUAUUUAUUAGAUAAAAAACCAAUGCUCUUCGGGGCUCCUUGGUGAUUCAUAAUAACUUAACGAAUCGCAUGGCCUUGUGCCGGCGAUGGUUCAUUCAAAUUUCUGCCCUAUCAACUUUCGAUGGUAGGAUAGUGGCCUACCAUGGUUU
rnacentral:rRNA from 1 species